rnacentral:rRNA from 1 species
GAUGAACGCUGGCGGCGUGCCUAAUACAUGCCAGUCGAGCGAACGGACGAGGAGCUUGCUCCUCUGACGUUAGCGGCGGACGGGUGAGUAACACGUGGAUAACCUACCUAUAAGACUGGGAUAACUUCGGGAAACCGUAGCUAAUACCGGAUAAUAUUUUGAACCGCAUGGUUCAAUAGUGAAAGACGGUUUUGCUGUCACUUAUAGAUGGAUCCGCGCUGCAUUAGCUAGUUGGUAAGGUAACGGCUUACCAAGGCGACGAUGCGUAGCCGACCUGAGAGGGUGAUCGGCCACACUGGAACUGAGACACGGUCCAGACUCCUACGGGAGGCAGCAGUAGGGAAUCUUCCGCAAUGGGCGAAAGCCUGACGGAGCAACGCCGCGUGAGUGAUGAAGGUCUUCGGAUCGUAAAACUCUGUUAUUAGGGAAGAACAAAUGUGUAAGUAACUAUGCACAUCUUGAUGGUACCUAAUCAGAAAGCCACGGCUAACUACGUG